UAAGGAAUAUUGGUCAAUGCCCGGAAGGGUGAACCAGCCAUCCCGCGUGAAGGAUGAAGGGGCUCUGCCUUGUAAACUUCUUUUGAAUGGGACGAAAAAGCCUCACUUGUGAGGAACUGACGGUACCAUUAGAAUAAGCACCGGCUAACUCCGUGCCAGCAGCCGCGGUAAUACGGAGGGUGCGAGCGUUAUCCGGAAUCACUGGGUUUAAAGGGUGCGUAGGCGGCUGUAUAAGUCAGUGGUGAAAGGCUGUGGCUUAACCAUGGGAGUGCCAUUGAUACUGUACGGCUUGAAUUAGGAUGAGGUUGGCGGAAUGUGACAUGUAGCGGUGAAAUGCUUAGAUAUGUCAUGGAACAUCGAUUGCGAAGGCAGCUGACUGGACCUUAAUUGACGCUGAGGCACGAAAGCGUGGGGAGCGAACAGGAUUAGAUACCCGCGUAGUCCCUGAGCGGGCUGGCAAGGCGCAU
rnacentral:rRNA from 1 species